CGGGCAGAUCCGCGCCUCGGGGCUGGAUUAGUCGGGCCUGCCCGCGCCCGCCCCCGCCCCGCCCGCCGCUCUCGCUUGCCGCUUUCUGCGCGCCCGCCAGCAGUGCGCCCGCCGCCGCCGCCGCCGCUCUUCUGGCCCUGCGCCGCGCCAGACGGUGUCCGGGAGCCAGAGCGCACCGAAAGCCGCCCAGAGCGCGCCGACUCGGCGCGGUGGACAGAUGUGGCCCGUGCGCGCCCCCGGCCGGGGCUCCGGCUAGGCAGGGCGCGCCGGGAGAGAGGCCACCUCGACGGGCCGAGGCUGGCGGGGGCCCGUGCUCCGCUGCCCGCGUCCAUUGCCGGCCCGGCUUCGGCUUCGGCUUCGGCUUCGGUUCCGGCCCGAGGACUAGCGGCGAUCGCCUGCAGAGCGCGCCAGACCCGGGGUGCCCGCGCGGCGUCUGUGGGCUCCGAGAAGCUCUUUGCCCCGGCAGCUGAUAAAGGCCCCACACUGGGCGACAAGUCCGAGGCCAAGGCUGGGGCAGCACCCAAGGUCUCAGGCCUGGAGCGCAGCCGUGAGCUGAGCACCGAGCCGCCCUUCCUGCCCCCCGUGCACAGCCCGCGCCCGCCCUGCCCUCCCCUCCGCCGUCGGAGCCCCGUUGCCCCAGCCACCUCUGGU
rnacentral:lncRNA from 1 species